rnacentral:tRNA from 1 species
GCGGCCGUAGUCUAGCCUGGCAGGACUUCGGCCUCCCGAGCCGGCGACCCGGGUUCAAAUCCCGGCGGCCGCA